rnacentral:lncRNA from 1 species
AGCAAUUCCGUGCCGUCUGCUGGGAAGCGCGGCUUGCACAGGGCCUGGCCGAUGUGGACAGGCUUCGGUGCUGGCUGCUUUUGACACAGACCCAGGAGGGAGCGCAGCCCCAGCCCUUGCUGACCCCAGCAUCUCCAGGGCCAGCCCCAGCUCUGCCCUUUGGAAAGGAGGGGACCUGUUCUGGCUGGUGCCAUGGCGGGUGCCACUUGGAUUUCACGACCUGGCCAUGAUCCCCACGGCCCACUCCUUGCUGUGACCUACAACUGCUUCUCCGACCCCUCUGCAUGGUGGAGUGCUGCACUGGAACAGGAGUGGCUGCCAGGCCGGUUCUAUUGGUUUAGCUGGGGUUGUUACUGCCUGUUCCGGGUUGUUACUGCCUGCUCAGGGUUGUUACUCUCUGUUCCGGGUUGUUACUGCCUGUUCAGGGCUGUUACUGCCUGUUCCGAGUUGUUACUGCCUGUUCCAGGUUGUUACUCUCUGUUCCGGAUUGUUACUGCCUGUUCGGGGUUGUUACUCUCUGUUCGGGGUUGUUACUUUCUGUUCGGGGUUGUUACUCUCUGUUCGGAGUUGUUACUGCCUGUUCGGGAUUGUUACUGACUAUUUGGGGUUGUUCCUCUCUGUUCGGGGUUGUUACUCUCUGUUCGGGGUUGUUACUGCCUGUUCGGUGUUGUUCCUCUCUGUUCGGGGUUGUUACACUCUGUUCAGGGCUGUUACUGUCUGUUCGGGGUUGUUACUGCCUGUUCGGGAUUGUUACUGCCUGUUUUGGGUUGUUACUCUCUGUUCCGGGUUGUUACUGUCUGUUCGGGGUUGUUCCUCUCUGUUUGGGGUUGUUCCUCUCUGUUUGGGGUUGUUACUGCCUGUUCGGGGUUGUUACUCUCUGUUUGGGGUUGUUCCUGCCUGUUUGGGGUUGUUCCUGCCUGUUCGGGGUUGUU